UGUGUCAUACUAAAUCCUAUUAUAUAAAUUAUUAAAAAACUAUUAAUAUAUUACUCCUAAUAACCAACUAAAAUUAAAGUACUGAAAAGGAAAAAAUAUCAAUUUAAAGUAGUGAUAUCCCACGUACCUUGUGCAUUAUGGUUUUACAAGCUAAAAAUUAAAUAUAUGUUCCCGAAUCCUACGCGAGCUGCCUUCAUAUAGCUAAGAGCCCACUACUAGUUGUAGCAACAACUUUAGAAAAUAUGAUAGCAGAGGCUACAUACCACCCGCGCUAGAAAAUCGCUGGUUUUCAAUAAACCUUAUUAAUUAAAACAUGUAAAAAUAUUUUACACUGUAAGAUUUCAGAGGAUAAGCCCUGUAAUCAUAAGCUAAUAUUUAAUAAUACUACAAAUUAGGCCUAAAAACAGCCACCUUAAGUACUUUAUCGUAUUUAAUAUAUUUAAUUAUUGAUCAACAUUGCACAAAUUAAUUGAAAAUUAGGAAACCCUAUUAAUCCUAAAUUACUAUGUAAAAAUAAGUAUUAGAAAACAACAAACAUUAAUAUUAAAAAUAAAAUCUAAGUUAACAUAUAAACACUUAUAAAGGAACUCGGCAAACACUUAUUUUUCUUGUAGUUUAAUAAGAAGUAGUUCCUGCCCGGUGACUUACGUUCAACGGCCGCGGUAUCCUAACCGUGCAAAGGUAGCAUAAUCACUUGCCCAUUAAUUGUGGGCUAGAAUGAAGGGAUUAACGAAAUAAAAACUGUCUCUAUAAGUGACUUAAAAAUUAAUCUCUAACUGAAGAUUGUUAGAUUAUAUCGAAGGACAAGAAGACCCUAUAGAGCUUUACCUAAUAAAAAUUAAAAAAUUUUUUCAGGUUUGGUUGGGGCGACCAGGGAAGUAAUCAAUCAUCCCUAUUUAAAAGAUAUAUAAGUCUCAUUAUUGACCCUUUAUAAAGAUCACAAGACCAAGCUACCUUAGGGAUAACAGGCUAAUCUCACUAAAGAGUCCUUAUCAAUAGUGGGGUUUGGCACCUCGAUGUUGGCUUAGGGAAUCUAUGUGGCGCAAAAGUCACAUAAAGAUGGUUUGUUCAACCAAUAAUCCCUACAUGAGCUGAGUUCAGACCGGCGUGAGCCAGGUUAGUUUCUAUCCUCGAUAUUAUAACCUAUUUAUAGUACGAAAGGACCUAAAUAAGGAUAAUAAUUAUAACCAAAGAACAAAUAUAAUAUAAGUUAAAAAGACUAGUACAUAAAAUA
rnacentral:rRNA from 1 species